CGUUAGGUCAACCUGUGCAGAAUAAGCAACUCAAUGUAGCAGAGUCUCCAACAAAGUCUCCCGUGGUCGUCGAUCUUCAUCUACUUUUCCAACUGUUGUUGACGCUUUCAAUUGGGGCGCAAAUUGCUAUAAAGAAAAAAAAAAAAGAAACAAAGCCGAAUUGCAGUCCAAAAGCACCGAACAUCAACUUUGGAUGAAGAGUUUGCAUUGAGUUCAUUGGCAUCAAAUUCAAUGACAUUACUCGCCAUACAAAUGCAUACACACACAAGCGUAAGUUUGGCAACGGAUGUGCUGCGCCUGUAUGCGUGGGCAGGAGAUGGAGCAGCGGCAGAGUGGAAGAGCGCAAAGGGAGGGAAACACACACAGAGAGCGAGCUGAGAGAGAGAGAGAGAGAGAGAGAGAGAGACAGAGCGGACAACAGGUCACGCAAGCGUGCUAAAGUUUAUUCAUCUCGCCCAAAAUGCGCAGCAGUUUACAAAAAAUCGACGGCAAGUCUGAAUUUUUGAGGCGAAAUCAAUGGAUUGAAUGAUUAUGAGGAAGGAGCGAGACGGGGCGAUAUGUGCAAAGAGAAGUUUGCGCCGAAGCUCCUGCUCAGACACACUUGUGCAAAGGACAGGCAAGAACAACAACAACAGCAACAAAAAGCUGCAAGUGUGGGCAGCGCAAAAUCAGGAGGAGAAGGAAGGCAGGAGGAGAGCCGACCACGGCAACAACAAAAUUGUUUAAUUAUAAAUUGUAGAAAAGCAAAAUAGUCAAGCGAAAUGAGUGAGCGGGCGAGCGAGAUAGAUAGCGAGGUGAGUGCGAGAUGAAGAUACGUUUUUGUUGAAGGACACACACGGUCUUUAAAACAUUAAAAUUCACGCGACUGCAAGAUGACACAACUUUUAGGAAUUUGACUGGCUUUCCGGUUUGGGCGUGUUGCAUGCUGCAACUGCGGCGCGUCACACGCGGCAGCAACAUGUGUCCAGAUGCGGGUGUUAAAAACGGUUGCGGCGAAAAGGAUGCCAGAGCUCUGUGUGGUUGCAAUUGCGGUUAAAGUUGACAAGCAGCAGACGCCACACACACACACAGCAAAUUUGCAACAGUCGCCAUGCAGAUGUAUGUGUGUAUGUGUGUGCAUGUCUGAAUGAUUGCGUGUGUGUGUCUCUGAACAGAUGCGCACAAUAUGGUGCAUUAAUUUUAGCUCCUGCCGGACGACACAAACCAGGGACACAGUUG